rnacentral:SRP_RNA from 1 species
CCAUGCUAGGCGGGGAGCUGGCGGUUCCCUGUACCCGAAAUCCGCCAUACGCGGGGCCGAAUGCCUUCCGAGGCUUUGCCGGUUUGGUGUCGGUUUGUCUGAAGGUGUUGAGGAUUGAGUCCUGCGCAAUGGGAACUUGCGAACCUGGUCNNAGGUUGUCAAUGUCGACGGAGGAUGCAUGG